CUACAACAAAAUUUAAUUAAGAAUCACUUUUUCCAUGGAGGCCCAGGGUGCAAUGGCUGCAAACAGUAGCCUCAUCAGUAGUAUAUACAUCCUGUUGCCUAAGGGUUGCCCUAAGGGACCUUGGAAACAGCC
ensembl:snoRNA SNORA70 Small nucleolar RNA SNORA70